CUCUCUUGCUGAUGACACGAUUCCAGUUUGAGUCUGCAUGUAAGAUUCCGAAAGCUGAACUGAGUAUUUGGGCAGGGUACUCAUUAAAAAGAAGUGUUGCAAGACAUAGAUAAUAUCCAGGACAUCAGCGUGCAAGUGAUUGGACGACUCAGCUGUUGAAGAAAGGAUUGCAGAAAGGCUUAGAGACAUUUCAUGAAGUUUUGAGAAGGUAAGUGUGUGGUUUUUUUC